AAACCAGCACCUCAAGUGGUCAGGAGGAUUAUUGGGCCUAAAGCAUCCGUAGCCUGUUCUGUAAGUUUUCGGUUAAAUCCAUUAGCUCAACUAAUGGGCCGCCGAAAAUACUGUAGAACUAGGGAGUGGGAGAGGUAGACGGUAUUCGGUAGGAAGGGGUAAAAUCCUUUGAUCUAUUGAGGACCACCUGUGGCGAAGGCGGUCUACCAGAACACGUUCGACGGUGAGGGAUGAAAGCUGGGGGAGCAAACCGGAUUAGAAACCCUAGUAGUCC
rnacentral:rRNA from 1 species